rnacentral:misc_RNA from 1 species
GUUUUGUCUUUCCUAACUUCAACAUUCAUGCAAUAUUUGCAAUUCUCAAGAAAAUAUGUGGCUACGAAUUUUUUAUUAAACCUAUCCUUCACAGACUUUUUGUGUACUGUAUACAUCAAUUUUUUUAUUAUCAUUUACAUGCUAAACAUGCUUAUUCAUAUUAAUUAUAUGACUCAUCAGGUAUGUCACUAUCGUGUGUACUGUGUACCAGUACGUACUAUACACAUUUUUUCCAUUUGUUUUUGGUGUAUUGUUCAUCAGUUUUAUAUACAUGUAUUAUUGGUUGUAAAUAAAUUUAAUUUACUUUG